GAGAUGACAAUGUGUUGGGGGUUUAACUUAUGAGCUCUGAAUAUCAAGUCGUUUCGAGAUUUCCAAAUCUGCCAUAAUAAUAAAGCAAGGAGCUCAAAGGAUACAGAGGGGCAUAGCAGAAACAGAUGCUCUAUGGAUUCUGGAUUCUGUUGACAUAUCAAGCAAGUGGCUUCAGGUAUGAUCCGUCUUCGAACCAGAUUCUCCUUAGUUGCGAAGGCGUUUUGGCAAACUUGCCAGAGAAAAAAUCUGAUUUUGGGUUGUAAUUUUGCCUUCCAAAUUCUAUUCCAUAAUUCUUUGGGGGUUUGGUACGACGUUGAAGCUUGAUUCUGAUUUGGUGUUUCUUUUUGUGCUUUGAUGUUGUUAUACGCACUCUUCACUGUGAACUGCCCUGUUUUGGUUGGUGUCCA